rnacentral:rRNA from 1 species
GAUGAACGCUGGCGGCGUGCCUAAUACAUGCAAGUCGAGCGAACAGAUAAGGAGCUUGCUCCUUUGAAGUUAGCGGCGGACGGGUGAGUAACACGUGGGUAACCUACCUAUAAGACUGGGAUAACUUCGGGAAACCGGAGCUAAUACCGGAUAACAUUUAGAACCGCAUGGUUCUAAAGUGAAAGAUGGUUUUGCUAUCACUUAUAGAUGGACCCGCGCCGUAUUAGCUAGUUGGUAAGGUAACGGCUUACCAAGGCGACGAUACGUAGCCGACCUGAGAGGGUGAUCGGCCACACUGGAACUGAGACACGGUCCAGACUCCUACGGGAGGCAGCAGUAGGGAAAUCUUCCGCAAUGGGCGAAAGCCUGACGGAGCAACGCCGCGUGAGUGAUGAAGGGUUUCGGCUCGUAAAACUCUGUUAUUAGGGAAGAACAAAUGUGUAAGUAACUGUGCACAUCUUGACGGUACCUAAUCAGAAAGCCACGGCUAACUACGUGCCCGCAGCCGCGGUAAUACGUAGGUGGCAAGCGUUUAUCCGGAAUUAUUGGGUGUAAAGCGCGCGUAGGCGGUUUCUUAAGUCUGAUGUGAAAGCCCACGGCUCAACCGUGGAGGGUCAUUGGAAACUGGGAAACUUGAGUGCAGAAGAGGAAAGUGGAAUUCCAUGUGUAGCGGUGAAAUGCGCAGAGAUAUGGAGGAACACCAGUGGCGAAGGCGACUUUCUGGUCUGUAACUGACGCUGAUGUGCGAAAGCGUGGGGAUCAAACAGGAUUAGAUACCCUGGUAGUCCACGCCGUAAACGAUGAGUGCUAAGUGUUAGGGGGUUUCCGCCCCUUAGUGCUGCAGCUAACGCAUUAAGCACUCCGCCUGGGGAGUACGACCGCAAGGUUGAAACUCAAAGGAAUUGACGGGGACCCGCACAAGCGGUGGAGCAUGUGGUUUAAUUCGAAGCAACGCGAAGAACCUUACCAAAUCUUGACAUCCUUUGAAAACUCUAGAGAUAGAGCCUUCCCCUUCGGGGGACAAAGUGACAGGUGGUGCAUGGUUGUCGUCAGCUCGUGUCGUGAGAUGUUGGGUUAAGUCCCGCAACGAGCGCAACCCUUAAGCUUAGUUGCCAUCAUUAAGUUGGGCACUCUAGGUUGACUGCCGGUGACAAACCGGAGGAAGGUGGGGAUGACGUCAAAUCAUCAUGCCCCUUAUGAUUUGGGCUACACACGUGCUACAAUGGACAAUACAAAGGGCAGCUAAACCGCGAGGUCAUGCAAAUCCCAUAAAGUUGUUCUCAGUUCGGAUUGUAGUCUGCAACUCGACUACAUGAAGCUGGAAUCGCUAGUAAUCGUAGAUCAGCAUGCUACGGUGAAUACGUUCCCGGGUCU